UAGGGAAUNGNNNCNNNGGGCGAAAGCCUGACGGAGCAACGCCGCGUGAGUGAAGAAGGAUUUCGGUUCGUAAAGCUCUGUUGUUAGGGAAGAAUGAUUGUAUAGUAACUAUAUACAGUAGAGACGGUACCUAACCAGAAAGCCACGGCUAACUACGUGCCAGCAGCCGCGGUAAUACGUAGGUGGCAAGCGUUGUCCGGAAUUAUUGGGCGUAAAGCGCGCGCAGGUGGUUUAAUAAGUCUGAUGUGAAAGCCCACGGCUCAACCGUGGAGGGUCAUUGGAAACUGUUAAACUUGAGUGCAGGAGAGAAAAGUGGAAUUCCUAGUGUAGCGGUGAAAUGCGUAGAGAUUAGGAGGAACACCAGUGGCGAAGGCGGCUUUUUGGCCUGUAACUGACACUGAGGCGCGAAAGCGUGGGGAGCAAACAGGAUUAGAUACCCUGGUAGUCCACGCCGUAAACGAUGAGUGCUAAGUGUUGGUCUCAUAAGAGAUCAGUGCUGCAGCUAACGCAUUAAGCACUCCGCCUGGGGAGUACGACCGCAAGGUUG
rnacentral:rRNA from 1 species